GAGUUUGAUUCUGGCUCACGAUGAACGCUAGUGGCAGGCCUAAUACAUGCAAGUCGAACGGUGUCUUCGGACAUAGUGGCGCACGGGUGCGUAACACGUAUGCAACCUACCUUACAUUGGGGGAUAGCCUUUCGAAAGGGAGAUUAAUACCGCGUAAGACAGUAGCUGGGCAUCCAGCAGCUGUUAAAGAUUUAUCGAUGUAAGCUGGGCAUGCGUCCAAUUAGCUAGUUGGUGAGGUAACGGCUCACCAAGGCAAUGAUUGGUAGGGGAACUGAGAGGUCAAUCCCCCACACUGGCACUGAGAUACGGGCCAGACUCCUACGGGAGGCAGCAGUAGGGAAUAUUGGGCAAUGGACGCAAGUCUGACCCAGCCAUGCCGCGUGCAGGAUGAAGGCGUUAUGCGUUGUAAACUGCUUUUAUACAGGAAGAAACGACUCUUGCGAGAGGCAUUGACGGUACUGUAUGAAUAAGCACCGGCUAACUCCGUGCCAGCAGCCGCGGUAAUACGGAGGGUGCAAGCGUUGUCCGGAUUUAUUGGGUUUAAAGGGUGCGCAGGUGGUUUAUUAAGUCAGUGGUGAAAGACGGUCGCUCAACGAUUGCAGUGCCAUUGAAACUGGUAGACUUGAGUAAAGUAGAGGUGGGCGGAAUUGAUAGUGUAGCGGUGAAAUGCAUAGAUAUUAUCAAGAACUCCAAUUGCGUAGGCAGCUCACUUGGCUUUUACUGACACUCAUGCACGAAAGUGUGGGUAUCAAACAGGAUUAGAUACCCUGGUAGUCCACACUGUAAACGAUGAUAACUAGGUGUCGGCCGAACCUGGUCGGUGCCACAGCGAAAGCGUUAAG
rnacentral:rRNA from 1 species